rnacentral:rRNA from 1 species
GGGGUUGCGGACAUAUCAUAACGAAGAGGUAUCGUAAUUGAAGAGGUUUGGAAAGACCCACCACAGAAGGUAAUAGUCCUGUAUGUUAAACGAGAAGACUUUAGAUAUGAUCCAGAGUACCACGGGACACGUGAAACCCUGUGGGAAGCAGGAGGGACCACCCUCCAAGGCUAAAUACUACCUAGUGACCGAUAGCGUAUAGUACCGUGAGGGAAAGGUGAAAAGAACCCCGGGAGGGGAGUGAAAUAGAACCUGAAACCCUGCACUUACAAGCUGUGGAAGCACAUUUCUUGUGUGACCGCGUACUUUUUGUAGAACGGGCCAACGAGUUACGUUAAGUAGCAAGGUUAAGCACUUAAGGUGCGGAGCCGUAGCGAAAGCGAGUUUUAACUGAGCGUUCAGUUACUUGACGUAGACCCGAAACCGGGCGACCUACCCAUGAGCAGGAUGAAGCGAAAGUAAAAUUUCGUGGAGGUCCGAACCCACGAGCGUUGAAAAGCUCGGGGAUGACUUGUGGGUAGCGGUGAAAUUCCAAUCGAGCCCGGAGAUAGCUGGUUCUCCCCGAAAUAGCUUUAGGGCUAGCCUCAAGGUGAGAGAUACGGAGGUAGAGCACUGAAUGUCCUAGGGGGUAUUGCACCUACCGAAGACUAUCAAACUCCGAAUGCCGUCAUCUUAUACUUGGGAGUCAGACUGUGGGUGAUAAGAUUCAUAGUCGAAAGGGCAACAGCCCAGAUCGUCAGCUAAGGUCCCUAAAUGUAAGUUAAGUGGUAAAGGAUGUGGGAUUGCACAGACAACCAGGAUGUUGGCUUAGAAGCAGCCACUCAUUCAAAGAGUGCGUAAUAGCUCACUGGUCGAGUGAUCCUGCGCCGAAGAUUUCCGGGGCUAAAACUUACUACCGAAGCUACGGCAUCAGUAAUGAUGGGUAGGGGAGCUUCCCAUACGGGUUGAAGCAUGACCGUAAGGACAUGUGGACAGUAUGGGAGUGAGAAUGUUGGCAUGAGUAGCGAGAUGUGGGUGAGAAUCCCACAGGCCGUAAACCCAAGG